rnacentral:sRNA from 1 species
UACUUGCGUUAGCGAUUGAAACGACAUCCUUUUUUGAGUAACGAAAAAAAGAUACAGUGAAAAGCGCGACCUUUA